CUUGUCAUCCGAAAGUAUUGCCAUUACAUCCGGUUGAAAUCCAUACAUGGUUCCCAUCGUAGGCUAGGCUAGUUUAGCUGCUAACUCUCAGUAGUGAUCAUCACAGUCACAAUGCCUCUGAUAGUGAUGUGUGGGUACCCCUGCAGUGGUAAAACACGAAGGGCAGAGGAGCUGAAGAUUCCCAAAAGGAGAAAAAUGUCAGAGCAUCUCUGAAAGCUGAAGUAGAGAGGAAAGUCAACAAGGGAGACAUUGUGAUUUUGGAUUCCCUAAAUUACAUAAAAGGCUACCGCUAUGAACUGUUCUGUCUCAUCAAACAUGCACAGACACCACAAUGCCUGGUAUACUGUUUGACGUCAGAUGAAGUGAGCACAACGUGGAAUACCAACAGAGAUGCUGCUGAGCAGUACACACAGGAAAUCUUUGAUGCAUUAGUGCUGAGAUUUGAAGCUCCAGACUCCAGAAACCGAUGGGACAGUCCUCUCUUCACCAUCCUGAAAGACGACACGAUUCCAUUUGAAGACAUUUCUGACGCACUUUUCAAGAGAAAAGCACCCCCACCAAACCAGUCCACACAGAGUCAACCAUUGUCAUCUUCAAACUUCCUGUACGAGCUGGACAAAAUCACACAAGAAGUCUUAAUGGCAAUUUGUAACGCACAGAAGACAAGUGUCCCCGGGGACCUCGUUCCAGUUCCAGGAGCUACAGAAAAGAUCGAGCUCACCAGGAGCAUCAACAUGGCAGAGCUGAGGAAAUUACGGCGGCAGUUCAUCAGCUACACCAAGAUGCACCCGACAGAGAACAGCGGGCACAUUUCCAACAUGUUUGUGCAGUAUUUAAAUAAGAGUCUUCACUGACAUUGUUAUACCAUUGGCCUCUUUUUUUAUUUUCUGGGACAAAUAAAUAUAUUUUAUAAUAUUCUCUGGAUGUGAUGUUUUGCAAUGAUUCGGUCGAGUUAUAUUUAUGAGCUUAAGUGCCAAAUUGACUCCUUAUGCAGUUGUGUAAUAUUCCAACUAGUUUACAUUUGAAUCCUUUUUUAUUUUUGUAAUGAAUUCUACAAAAAUUAGCUCCUCCUUAUAUAAGCAAGAGUUUCCCUAAUUCCCCUUUUACUCUGCUUGACCUCUUGGUGACAAGCUCAACAAGUAUGAAUUGGUUUUUUGAAAAAGCUUCUUAUUGCUGUCGGAUUUGUAGCAUACUAUAAGUACCACUGAGUAAAGCUCUUGGAAGAAAUCCCUCUCAAUGAUUGUGUAUUAUUAUGUAAGAAGAUUGAGGCGGAAAAUGAUGGGAAAGCUUUUUUCCAAUUAUUUAAAUAAUACAAGAGUUCAGUUCAACAACAAUAUUUACAAAAGUGCAAGAUUAUAAGAUAUU